UACUUAGUUUGCCAACACUUUCUUUCGCGGAUGCGGAGGAAAUCGCUGCGGCGAAUUCCCCCACCAACAAAUCUGUGAAAGGAUACAAGUUCUUCCACGAAGAAUAUAUCCACAGCUAUCAAGAUAUCACUGGGUGUUGGAAAAGAAAAGGCAGAAUUGUUGGAUUAUUCCUUCAGCUGUGCAGCUGGUAAAGGUUUUUGCAAUCAUGUAGUUGCACUUCUUUACCAGACUGCACACUACUCCCAACUCCAGCUGCCAAAUGUUCCUGCUGCACUGGCCGGCACUAGUGAGUUACAAAGAUGGCACAGACCAAGAACACAGGGGAUACAUCCUGAACCUGUCAGCGACAUGGUGGUGCGGAAGCCCAAAACUAUGGGGAAAAGAUAUCUGCACUCCACACUUUACAGAGCUUACACAGGACCGCUUCCAGAUCCCGACAUUCUGGCAUCAGGAGAAAAACUACGCCAGCUGGAGUCCCCACCACUUAUCGCUCUUGUCCUAGAUGGUCUUUCUAAUUUGGAGCUGGUUCCAUCCAAAUUUGGGCCUGUGCCACAGGGCUCACCUAUGUCUUAUCAGUGCCCACCUGAGAAGUCCUCUGGUAGUAUUAUUCUGCACCACAUGGCUCCAGACUUCCCUUCUCUUCCUUUGAUGCUGCAUAGUUUUCCGAAUAUGUGUUUUGUGCCCACACUCGGUCAACUUAUGCAUCUUCAGUCUCUGCAAGUGUCACUGGAAAUGUCUUAUGAAAUAGAGGCCAGAACAAGAGAGCAGUCCAAAUGUCCUGCAUGGGUACAUCUUCGACAGCCAAGACUUACUGCUAGCCGUUUCCGUGAUGCUUGCAGAGGAAGUGCAGAGGAGGAGUCUGCUGCCACGGCACUGGCAUCUCGGAUGAUCAGGGGGUCAACUAGACAAACUGCAGCCAUGAAGCGUGGUCUGCAGAUGGAGUCUGAGGUGCUGGCAAACUAUGCUGAGAUGUUGAAGGUCAAUGUACUCCCUGUGGGAUUCA